AGUGAACGCUGGCGGUAGGCCUAACACAUGCAAGUCGAACGGCAGCACAGGAGAGCUUGCUCUCUGGGUGGCGAGUGGCGGACGGGUGAGGAAUACAUCGGAAUCUGCCCAGUCGUGGGGGAUAACGUAGGGAAACUUACGCUAAUACCGCAUACGACCUUCGGGUGAAAGAGGGGGAUCGCAAGACCUCUCGCGAUUGGAUGAGCCGAUGUCGGAUUGGCUAGUUGGCGGGGUAAUGGCCCACCAAGGCGACGAUCCGUAGCUGGUCUGAGAGGAUGAUCAGCCACACUGGAACUGAGACACGGUCCAGACUCCUACGGGAGGCAGCAGUGGGGAAUAUUGGACAAUGGGCGCAAGCCUGAUCCAGCCAUACCGCGUGGGUGAAGAAGGCCUUCGGGUUGUAAAGCCCUUUUGUUGGGAAAGAAAUCUUUCAGGCUAAUACCCUGGGAGGAUGACGGUACCCAAAGAAUAAGCACCGGCUAACUUCGUG
rnacentral:rRNA from 1 species